CAUGUUUUAAGGUUUUGAAAAUAUAACUUGACCUUGUUGCUACACUAGUCACACGCUUUAGAGUGAAGUUUUUACAUCUACAAUCUUAGAGAAUUGAGAGAAGAUGCCUGAGCAAAGGACUCUUCCACUGCACGUUGGACAGCUAAAUGCUACUUCAGGAUCUCAAACAGAGGUGUCUGGCAUCACCAAGGCUCUGUAAUAAUUGGGAUUCUAUACCACAUGGCUGGAAAGGCAGGCUUCCUCUCGUCUCUGCAGGCCUGAUUAAAAGACAGGCCAACCCAAUGGAUUUACUCUUUCCAGGGCUCAAACAACCCCUACGAUCUGAGGUUCAUGGCUCGUCUUCCAGAUACCAGAAUAAGGACAGCAAAGAGUCUUCAUCUCAUCAGAAGCUUCAUCAUAGGCAUCUCACGGAAGGAAUGCUUGGAAAUUCUCUUGCUGGCUGUUAAAGAUCAUCAGUCCUCCUCAGCUGUGUUGCUGUUCUGUGAGCCAGGAGGGUAACCCAACCGCUUUUCUAAAUCCUGACUCACUUUAGAGAGAACUGAGCGCUUGCCAUCCACUCAUCCUGGAAGCCGUUCAGAAAGAAAAGCACCAGCUCAUAUUUGAAGUUGGGCCCAGGUGGGGACAAAUGGGUGUUGAUACUGGUACAGAGCUUCCCCAAAGGAAAGUGAAGGUAAAUUCCUCUCCUUUAAACCCUAAUGCCUCUGGUUUAUACUCGGCCUGUCAACAAAGUAUUAACACGUAUUUUACCGCAAGCCCUGAUGGGAGGUAAGACAGCA
rnacentral:lncRNA from 1 species